rnacentral:lncRNA from 1 species
AUAUAGAAAGACACCGAAAAUUGCGAGAAAAAAAAAACAUGACAACGACUACUUAACAAACCCAACAUGUAUCCAAAGUAGGACUAUUCACACUAAUUGUAAAACCUAGUUUAAAAAAUUACCGGAAUAAAAGAACCAAAAAUGCAAUAAAUCUAAACUAGUUUUUUUUUUAAUUCAUCAAUCUUCAACUUCAAUAAGAUGGAACUGGAAAUGUUGAUUCAGUAACAACUAAAGCAUUCAUCGCAAGAGCACCCGCACAAACUUCUGGUAUGACAAGAUAUUGAAGAAGGCAUAAGUAAUCAUUAUCGAAUCUUCAUCUUCAGUGUUCCAUUGGACAGCUGCAUCUUAUUAUUAUUCAGUGUCAUAAUGUUUGUCAAAUGCUGAUUCCUUCAGAAAACUCUGGCAUGCAUGCCCAGAUACAUGUGUCUUACAUCUGUUGUUAUUAAGUGUGCAUGUAAUCCACCAAAUUCAUGCACAAAUUCUGGUCUGUGUGUAUGCAUACAAAUAUAUACAUAAUUACAUGCAUAUGUUAAUGUACCUAUGUAUGAUUAAGCGGCCACUUCAUCUUGAUUUCAUUCAUCAUGGAUUCUGAUCUUUGUUUGUUUUAGUUAGCUAUCAUGUAUUCUUUUGUUUACACAAAGAGAUGAAAAGUAAGAAAGGGCAAAGAAAACAAGCAAUCAAAGGGACAGAUAAGUAGGACUUUGGAAGUGUAAAGAACCACUUGACCAUAGAAUUAUCUUUCAGAGAUGAAAGGAAGGUAAGGCACAGGAAACAAGCAAUCAAAGGGUCAGAUUUGUUGCAUUUUCUGCUGCCAAAAGAGCUGCGUGACAACUGAAACUAUCUUCCAGAUGGACCAUUCUGCUCCAGAAUGCACAUGCAAAUCCAUACUUUCAUGCUCCAAAAGGAUAGACAUACUGCCUGCAAGGGUGGGAGCUUCCAUCAGUUACAUGACGCAUUUGAUCUUUGAUUGGUCAGGGCUAACUGGUUUCUAGGCUAAAGUUUUUAACUUUUGUUUUGUCAUAUUAUUGUUGGUUAAAUAAUCUUGCUCUUGCUUCUCCUAUUAUUAAGAGUAAAAGACAUCAAAGCAUGACCACUUCUACAUACAAUCUGCCAAUUAUAUUG